CGAAUUAGCUAUGAUGGAAAGAUUUGAGACAGGUGUCAGAAGAAGAGCUAGAUACUGAGCUUGCGAAGGUAAGCAAGUGCACAUCAAGCAAGGGAGCAGGAGGGAGGUUGAUAGAGAUGCGCAGCAGCAUAUAAGAGCGUUUCAAUCCCCACUUCCCAAAAUGGCUUCCACACUCUGCUCCUCUUCCACUUGUACACCAACACCAUCGUCCCUUUUCUCCUCCUUCACGCUACGACGUCGUUUGCCCCUCGUCGGAGCCUUUUGCAUGCUCAGUUUGGGACUCUCUAAUCUCUACACCCCCUCGUAUUCCUCUGCCCUCAAAACGGGGUGCGUUCUGUCUCUCUUGCGGUAUUCGCUGUUCCGUCUUCGUAACAUCGUCCACUUUCUCUUCCUUUCUCUCUCCAUUGAGUUCAAUUCAAUUGCCUUCACGUGCGUUGGUGGUUGUGCAGGUAAGAAGUUGGCUGAAAGCAUUGCCACAGAGAAGCUUGCAGCUUUUGUGAACAUUGUACCGGGUGAGAAUUUCCCACUUGAGAUCUGUUAUAAUCACUCACAACACACUGCAACUUUGUGUAUCUAAUGGUUUAAAAUUAGUAAUAUCUGGGAGGGGUUUGGUACUUCUAGAUAUUAAUUGUAGUAACAGAGUACUUUUUCUAAUUAUGUUAUUUUUUGUGAUUUUGUCCCUGGAUUUGAAUUGAUUUGAUAAAUACUUGAUUCUGGACAACGAGAACGAACAACAAAUGUGCUUGCCAUUGCAUAACAGUUAACUACUAAUAAUGUAUUGGGCUGUGUACUGUCUUGAGUUAGAUUUUUGUUUUAAAUGAAAUAGCAAGCUCCGGAAUAAAAAAAAAUUGCUUGUAUUAUGGGUUACUUUGUUUGCAUAUACCAAUCAAUGUAGACGUCCCUCUUUUUUUUAUGUUCACUUGAUCACUUAAAUUGAACGUGAUUCUAUUAAUCGAAAAUAGUUUCUCUGAUUGAAAAUAUUUUGAAUAUUUUUAGUUACCUUCACGCGUGGCCAGAACUUCUUUUUGCAUUCUUUGUAAUGCCACAUGUAGGUAACCAAGACUUGAAUGAAUUCCACCACUUGACAAGUUUUCUUCACUUUUAGUUUAUAUACUUGUUUCACUUAUGGUGUGUGUGACCAUGUCCACCAGUGGCAUUGUUCUGGUAGGGUGGAAAAGGCCAGUUUUGAUAUGGUCUUGACUAGAGCU
rnacentral:lncRNA from 1 species